ACUGCAAGUCGAGCGGACAGAAUGGGAGCUUGCUCCCUGAUGUUAGCGGCGGACGGGUGAGUAACACGUGGGUAACCUGCCUGUAAGACUGGGAUAACUCCGGGAAACCGGGGCUAAUACCGGAUGGUUGUUUGAACCGCAUGGUUCAAACAUAAAAGGUGGCUUCGGCUACCACUUACAGAUGGACCCGCGGCGCAUUAGCUAGUUGGUGAGGUAACGGCUCACCAAGGCAACGAUGCGUAGCCGACCUGAGAGGGUGAUCGGCCACACUGGGACUGAGACACGGCCCAGACUCCUACGGGAGGCAGCAGUAGGGAAUCUUCCGCAAUGGACGAAAGUCUGACGGAGCAACGCCGCGUGAGUGAUGAAGGUUUUCGGAUCGUAAAGCUCUGUUGUUAGGGAAGAACAAGUACCGUUCGAAUAGGGCGGUACCUUGACGGUACCUAACCAGAAAGCCACGGCUAACUACGUGCCAGCAGCCGCGGUAAUACGUAGGUGGCAAGCGUUGUCCGGAAUUAUUGGGCGUAAAGGGCUCGCAGGCGGUUUCUUAAGUCUGAUGUGAAAGCCCCCGGCUCAACCGGGGAGGGUCAUUGGAAACUGGGGAACUUGAGUGCAGAAGAGGAGAGUGGAAUUCCACGUGUAGCGGUGAAAUGCGUAGAGAUGUGGAGGAACACCAGUGGCGAAGGCGACUCUCUGGUCUGUAACUGACGCUGAGGAGCGAAAGCGUGGGGAGCGAACAGGAUUAGAUACCCUGGUAGUCCCGCCGUAAACGAUGAGUGCUAAGUGUUAGGGGGUUUCCGCCCUUA
rnacentral:rRNA from 1 species